AACCGCACGAUGAAAGGGAUCGAACGGUUCCGCUUAAGCUUCUGGAUGCUUCUUGAAGUUCGUUCCCUUAUAAAUAUGCAUCAUCGAUCGGCUGUAGACCUGUAUCUAAAUUAAACGCCACUUCAUUCUCCUCUUCCCAGCAAGAGAGAUUGUUCAUUUGGCAAGGGGGUUGAAUCUACUUCUGGCCGUCAUGGACGUCAGCUAAAGAUUUGGAACAUAUCCGGAAAAGUUAAUUAAGUGAAGAUGGCAAAAUAAUACAAAGAUAAACAAAUAAAUAAUGUUUGGGCCGGCCAAAUCAGCAGAGAAUGAGAGAUACAGACACCGAGUCAAAGUUUCAAGCAAGCAAAAGGCUAAGGCGAUCAAGCGAAAGACUUGAAGAAGAGUAGAGAUCGGUGCUCACUCCACAAGCGCAGCAUUUGGUGACUAGAGGAGAAAAGGGGAGCCGUUUUUUUUCUCUCUUUUAAGGGUUUUUAAUUAGGACUUCAUUAUUAUGUUUCUUUGGUCUGUUAACACCCACAAUUCAGAAGAACACUAAUAUAACCUAUUUAUUGAUUAUUGAUACUAGUGUAUUACUAGAUGUUAAUGUAUUUAUUAACUCAUUAUUUAU